CUUUUUUCGAUAAGCAAAUUGAUUAAAAAAACAUAAGGGGUGCUAACCCAUUUACAAAGUAUUACAUAGGUGAAUAUAAGAGUAAAAAAUAAUACACCAAUUGCGAAAAGAAAAAACAUUACAACACAUAUUCUUAGUGAAUCAAAAUGUUAGAGAGAAGGUAGAGAAAAUCUGGGCAAGUGUCAUCAAAGCUCCCCACCCUAUUACACAUGGCCGACAAUACCCCACUUGAUAUUCUCGCAGUGAUGAACUUUGAAUAUAAUAACAAAAUGCCAUUUGUCAACGCUGACAAAGCAAAGCCAAUGAAAAUGGCAAACUCAUCCAACAACAACGUUGUUAUCACUUCGUCCAACAACAACGCGGCUCAAAACAAUGAGCGCUUUAGCCAACAACAGCGUACCAAUAACAACGAGCGCUUGUCUAACCACAGCGUGGCGUUGUCUCUUGCGUGCGCUAGCCAACAGCGUAUUCCCAACAACAGCGCAGAUCUUAUUUCAGAUCUGGCUAAUGAGCGCUCUAGCCAACAACAACGCACCAAUAACAACGAGCGCUUGUCUAACCACAGCGUGGCGCUGUCUCUUGAGCGCGCUAGCCAACAGCGUAUCCCCAACAACAGCGCAUAUCUUAUUUCAGAUCUGGCUAAUGAGCGCUUUAGUCAACAAUAGCGCACCAAUAACAAAGAGCGCUUGUCUAACCACAGCGCGACGCUGUCUCCUGAGCGUGCUAGCCAACAGCGUAUUCCCAACAACAGCGCAGAUCUUACUUCAGAUCUGGCUCUCGUAAACAACAUCGAAAAGAUUAUAACGUUAAGCAAAAGAAGCGCUACAACUUCCGCAACCUCGUAUGCAAAGGUUGUAAGCAACCCAUCCUCAGAAAGCAACAAAAUCCAGGUAGAUCUUUCUUCCCUUCCAACUCCAUUCAUCAAUGGAGAUGAUGUCUCGGUGAGAAUCUUGGAAGAGGAUUAUUUGGAAGGAUUGAAGAGCUGCAUCUCGUGCCUUCAUGGAAGGAUUGUGCUAUCCAAAGGAGACAAGCCGUCUAAAGUCUCAGAUCUGAAAGCAAACUUGGAUAAAGUUUGGAAAAACAUCGGCCCCUGACAAAUGAUUCCCUUGGGCAAAGGCUUUUAUGAGUUUAAUUUCUCAUGUAAAGAGGACAUGGAGAAGAUUUGCACAAAUACAUCUUGGUCUGCAAAUCCACGCGCAAAUAUUCAAAUUAG
rnacentral:lncRNA from 1 species